AGUAUUAUUUCAGCCACUUAUUCCAAAUCCCAUAUCUAAACCUAAAAACAAAAUAAACAGUCCUGUAUCGUCUCUUUCACAACAGAUCUCGAUAAUCCCCCUCCAACCCUAUCGGCUUCGUCCUCGCCCACCAUCUCUCCCGCAACCCAACACCGUGACAUUGGAUGUGCUAAUGGAUAACGAUGUUGAAUGAAAGGGUUGAAACCUUGGAAACUCUUGAAGUUAGUUGGAGCACAAAACUUUCAAUUUAUUAUUAUGUAGGUUGUUUUAUAAUUUUUACUAACUGAUUCACUUUUCAUCUGAAUUUGAUUUCAAUUGUUAACUUUAAAUGAUCUUUUCUUUUAAAUUUUUUCCUCUUUUUUCAUUUUUCUAUUUCCAGGAAAGUAGUAUAUUUAUUUUUCCAAAGAUUUCUCUAUGGUAAUAAGAUAUUCAUCUUUUAGUCUCCAUGGUAACCACUAUAUAUUUAUGUGUUUUCUCUCUAGAUGCCCUGUUUUCUCUCCAUAGGGAUUAGAGGCUAUUGUGACUCACUGGAUGAAAUAUGUCUUAGUUUGUGAAACUCAGUCUCAUUACAAGUUCACAAACAAUAUGAAUUAUAUUGAUGGAAAUCAGCACCUGCGAUUGGUAGAAAAUGUCUAACGUAUGAGUUGGAUCCGAGUUUAAUGAUGGAAAGUGUUUGUGUAUUUUAUUUUUUAUCUAUUUCUCUAUAACACUCUUACUUAUUGAAAGUUAUAUCAGGGAAUGGCAAUAAUCAAUUUCUUUGGCAUAUGCAUUAUGGGAUAAAGAAGACAAAGUCUCAAGCUUUGUGUUAUAGAAGGGAAGCUUCAUGAGAGUUGAAAAAUAUGUCAAAGGAAGGAGAAACAACCAUGUUAGAGCAUUGGACUACAAAUGAUAUUGGAGAAAUGUACCUAUAAAUAUAUCAGAAUACAAGAAAUUCUUGGACAUAACAGAUUUGUUAAGAUUUUAUUAGGGGAAAUACAAGUUAGCGAUGUUGUUAGAAAGCUUGUUUAUUGUAUAUUUAGUUUUUAGAAUUUAAUUUAUACACUGUAUUGUUUA